CACGUAGGGCGCGAGCGUUGUCCGGAAUUAUUGGGCGUAAAGAGCUCGUAGGCGGCCUGUUGCGUCCGCUGUGAAAGCCCGGGGCUUAACCCCGGGUCGGCAGUGGAUACGGGCGGGCUAGAGUUCGGUAGGGGAGACUGGAAUUCCUGGUGUAGCGGUGAAAUGCGCAGAUAUCAGGAGGAACACCGGUGGCGAAGGCGGGUCUCUGGGCCGAUACUGACGCUGAGGAGCGAAAGCGUGGGGAGCGAACAGG
rnacentral:rRNA from 1 species